GCGUCCUAAAAAUUUAAAAAUAAAUAGUAAGUAACAUGUUUUACAAUGAGAAAAACAUUCUUAGAAAUAUAAUCAAAAUUAUUAAUAUUAAAUUUUUUUUGUUUUUUUUAAAUAAAAAUUUCUGACUUAAAAAAAACAGAUUAUUCCUCAGGGACAUUUCAAAACCAUAAAUUUAAGAGCACUUUUUUGAGUAUUACAUGUAUUAAGACGCAAAUUCGGUCAAUGUCUUUAAUGGAUUAAAAUUCAGUUGUUACUUCAUGGUUUCUAUUGAUCCAUAUUGACAUUAUUGGUAAUGUUUAAAAAUUAGAUUAUAAUCUCAUAAUCCUUAUAAAGUACAGACAUUCUUAACAGAGCAUAAUUACAUGUAUAAUACAGAUGUCUUUUCAUCUUUAAAUUCCCCAUGCAGACCUUGUGGUCUAUAGGGCAGAUGAUGUAAAGCUCAUCUGUUUCUGUGGUUUAUGGUUAACAAAGGUGUGUCCUGUGGCCAGCACAAUGACCAACCGCUUUUACUUUUCUCCAACUAAUGUCAGGUACCAUUAGAGCUAGGUUGACUUAGAGACGCCCCAAGAUCCCAAAAUUAAAAUUCUAAGUCUUCACCAUGAUUCGAACCCGGGACCCUCGGUUCAGAAGCCAAUCGCUUUACUGCUCAGUCACUGCACCUCCCUUUUUCAUCUUUGAGCUAUCAAAUGUUAUUGAUUGUUGAGGAAAAAACAUCUGAUAGCAUUAAGCUUGACUAAACAAGUUUUCUAGCAGAGGACAUCUUACUAUGUUUCAACACAAUUCUACCCAUCAUUUUAACCUCAGGAGUCUCAAUUUUCUCCAAUGCAUUGUUAACAUAAAUUCUGUUGAUAUCUUUUUUUUGAGAUCAAAAUAUGCUCAAUACAAAUUUCAUCUUAUAAGCUGAAGCAUAUUUCAGAUUGCUUUCAAACCUUAAUCUUUCACACCUUUGUGUUUAUUUGACCUGUGCCUUUUUUUUAAAACUAAGAUGAACUGUGCACUUCUGAAACCAGAGGAAUAACAUGCAUUUAUGAAGCUCAGAAUGAAGGAAAUCUGUUGGCACCCAGGCUCCUACGUUUGAACUAAUGAGAGAGUAUCACAAGGAAACAGUUGAGAAACACUGGUUUAUAUAAUUAUCUGAGAGAAAAGGAAAAGAUAUGCUUAAACCUAUUUACCUUCAUUUCAAUGAUUGAUGUUCUGUUUUCUCCAACACAUUCCUACAAAAGAAAUUUUAAAGGCAGAUAAAAAGCAAUGACACAUAUAUGAGUAUAUACUAAUUAUUAAUUCUUAAGACUACUGUGCCAUAUGACAAUCCUAUAGUUUAAAGGAAGAGUAACAUUUCUGGCCCAAAAGUUUGAUGAAGAUAUUAUAAUUUUUUAUUUUUUUUGCUUUGACAUUUGAGACAUUAGUAGGAAACAGAUAUUUAUCUACAAGGGAAUAUAGCAUUGACAAAUUGUCACACUUUUCUGAAGAGGAUCUUCUACGUGUUUGUUUGUGAAAUGUUUGACAUGUUUCGGAUGUUCCUUAUCUUAUUUUAUAUAAUACAGACGUUACUUCAAAAAAGAAGAUGAUUACGCCCUACGCGUCAUGCAUUCAGUCAUGCAUAUUAACCAAUGACUUGAACUCUGCCACGUCACUGGUUUUCCUGGCUAGCUCAGGCAACCCAUUCCAUGCUCUAAUAGCACUAGGGAAGAAGGAGUAUUUGUACAAAUUUGUCCUAGCAUAUGGGACGAGGAAAGUGCCUUUAUCUUUGUGUCUUUCAGAGUAUUUUAUUAAAUUUUGUUUUUGUAUCCUUCAGAGCUGAAGUUAGUUUACUUCCUAGUCCAAACCUCCAGCAGGAUGACGGGGGAUGGGAGCAGGCAGGAUUUGAACCCUUGACCAUCGAUAAAUCCGAACGACAGUCCAGCCCGCAAACCGCAUGACCAGGCAGCCAUCCUGUUCAGCAUAGUCCUUCACUUAUGAAUCCUUGAUGAACAGAACAAAACAAGACCAUCAUAACAAUGGAGCUCAAGUCUUGUACUGAACUAGUGUAAAGGAACCCACUGGCUCAAGAAGAUAUGGAAACUUUUCACCCUCCCUUGAAAUGUAAAAAUACAGUGUGUGUUUUAUUGGUGUGAAAUCAAUGUGUGCAAACCACGAGAGAACAUUGGUCAUCAGUUUCCUACUCUCCACCAACUCAUCAAAGAUCUGUUUGUUGCAAGCCAUUAAAUGGUUGCUUUGUUCUGCAAACAUGCUCAGGAUCAACUCCUGAUUCUGUUUGUAAAAGUUGGACACUAAAUUCUGAAGCUGAAAGAAGAAUUCAAGCCCUAGAGAGUAAAUGCUACAGAAAUUUGCUGGCUAUCAGAUACCAGGAAAUGAAGAACAUUAGUUUGUAAUAUUACAAGUCAACACUGUGUCUGGCAAAUAGGGGAAACUCCUCAAAAGUGUGAAGAGAGCUGGUUCGGACGUAUUUUGAGACAAGACUCAAGGUCAAAGGUCAUCCUUCAGGGUAAAUUUGAGGAAGCUCGAAGAAAGGGUUGUCCAAAGAAAAGCUGGCGGGACAGCACAAAAGAAUCUUGGACUGGCCUCUCUCUUGAUAUCCUGCUAAGAGCAGCUGCUCUCCUGGAAAAGUAGAGGGACUCGGUUACACAAACUAUCACAGCACUCCUACAAUGAAAGUCAAGGGACAGACGAUGAAGAUGAAUGUUUAAUAUGUUGAUUGUGUUAAAUAUAUUUGAAGCUGCAUGACAAAAAAAACAACAAUU